CUGCUGAGCAUCAGAACUUGGGCUCUGGAAGUAGACAGACUUGGUUACAAAUCUGAGCUCUCUCCCUUAUUAGUGUGGGACAUAGAGAAACUUUAAAAAUCCUUCCAAACCUCAUACUUUUCAUGCAUGAUGUGAGGAUUGGAAUAAUGCUCACCUAAUAGGGGUUCUUGAGAAUUAAAAAAGUUAACAAUGAACAGCAUUCAGCAAGAUACCUGACUAUUGAGAAAAUCAAAAAUUGUUUGUUAUUGAUGUUGUGAUUAUUAAUCAUCCAUUCUGCACCUUCUGACUGGGAUAUCAUGCCAUCAGAAUGGGAUGGAUUCCUGCAUGGGCUGGGCCAAGAGUGCAAUAAUGGAGGAGUGAAGAAGGAAGAAGUGGAGGCAGAAAGCCCCCAGGAGUCCAGUAUGGUACAAGGCUGAGCUAAUGCUGCAGGGGCUUCUUGGAAAAGCCUCUGGGCUUGCGCCUGGCCCUGGAGGAACUUCUUCCAGCAGGCGGGGCCAGCUAUAAGAGUAGCCAGGAGAUUUCCCAGGGUGUGGGCUCCUAGAAGUUCAUUUGGACCAGGCCUGCAUAGAGAGGGAUCGUAACAGGGACCCUUCACUACUGGCAGGUGAUUUACCCUUCAGCGAGGAGCUCAGGCAUUUGUUUGAUGGAAGGUGGAAGGCCCUAUGCUGAGCCAGUGACUGUCAGGGAUGGGUGGGUGGCUGGAAAACAGGAAAUAAGACUAUAUGAUAGCACAGUAAUCACCACACUGUGUGGAACAUUCUCUUGAGAGUUUUCCCUCUGUUAAUACUUCCUAUGGCCCAAAUAAUAACAACAACAAAAAAUUGGUGUAAAUUCUUGAAAUAACUUGUGGAUGAUGGAACAAGACCGCCCUCCCCCCACCACCAACUCAGAGCUGCCAGAAGCUUCAGGUGAGGGUCCAAAAUGCCAAAAUGUCUUGUAUCAGAGAGGAUGGCCAGUGACCUGAGGACACAUGCCAUAUUUGCUGUGUCACCCAAGGAGCAGCAGCCUCAGCGCUGCACAGUCACCAGGACCCUGGCUUCCCACACUGGGUAGGUGUCUGAUAAAGGGCAUGCUUGGCAGCCCGUGCUGUCUGUCUCCUCUUGUCAGUUUAUCUGGCAUUUCUGUCAAGUGGCCACUUGAAUUUCUUUAAAGGUGGAAUCUCAGUGGGGUCUAAUCUGUUCAGAAAUAUCAAAAGAGUAUGUUAAGCACAGAAUUUAUACAUACAUACAUAUGUAUAAAACACAAACACACAUAUUUAUAUAUGUUAUGUGUGUUAUAUGUGUAUUGGGCAGGGAGAAAGGCCUUUGGUUCCUUUGUAUCUGCACAGCACAAGGAAAGGCACAGAGUGACUACGAUUUACAGUUGAUUUAUUUACAUGAAAGAUAUUCCCUUUUGCACUUUAGGCCAUAUAUAUGUGUAUGUGUGUGUGUGUAUAUAUAUAUAUAUCUUACAUAUAAUAGUGUAAAAGUGGAAAUAACUCAAAUGUUUAAAAUUGAGGAUUAAACUAUGACCUGUUCAUAUGUGACAUACAAGUGAGCUGUCCCUUGCUCUCUUGAGCUUCAACCUCCUACAAACAAUGUCCCUUGUAUACCAGUAUUGGUACAGAGAAUUGAACUUGUUGAGGUUUUAUAUGGGGCAAUAAAGGCGAGAGCUUACUGUAAAUACCCGAUACUAUGCUACAUAGCACCCCCUUUUACAGACAAACUCUUCUCUCUCAUUUCUCUUCCUUUCCGGAACCACUCGGUGCGAUCUCUACAAGUCUAUAUUGCAACUACCUCAACAUGGCACACUACCCCCAACUCCAUCUUCCCCAUCCUGAGAGCAAUGGUCAGCUGCCCCCACACUCACAUCCUCAUUCAUUCCAGAAGUCAGCACCACAGAAGUGCCCACACAUACCCCAACCACCUUCUUAGAAGAUAAGUUAGUGGUUGCUUUGACUUUUAAAAAUUUUUACUUCGUCUUUUCCUUCACAAUCUCAUCCCAUCCCAAGAGGUUUAUCCAGAAGCUCUCUAAAGAUAUGUGUGUCCUUAUUAGGAAUUUAACAGACAAAUCAGGAAUUUUUAUUCUAGCCAUCAAGGGAAUAACAUUUUACCAGGUCUUUAGACAAAUAAUGGAAUACCUUGUAGUAAUUAGAUAUACUACUGUAGAAAAGUAUUGAUGAAAUGGAACAAUGUUUGAGAUAUCAUAUUGAGUAGAAAAGGCAAGAUGCAUUAAGUAGGAAAUGUAGCUUACAAAAUAAUUUGUCAGACACAUUCCUAUAUUUGUAUGUUAUAAAUGUGUACGUGAAGAAAGGCUAGAAGAUGAGACCACAGUCUUCAGUCAAGUUUAAGAGAUGACGCUGCAGCAUGCUCAGAAAGGCCUGGGUUAUAGUGUUAUAGUUCUCCCAGCAAUUAAGGAUGUGAUCCUGGGUAAAUUGUGCAUCCUCUCUAAACUGCACUGCCUUUUGUGUGUAAAACAGGAAGGAUGGUAUUUACUCCCAGGGUCAUCAAAGGAUUUGGUUGGAGAAGAAGAAAAAUGGGCUGAGCCCAGACCUGGCACAGUGAGAGCACUGUGGUUAACUGUUGUGCUGGAUUGUUGUUCCUGUGUUAUUGACGUGCUGCUGGUGGUGGUCCAGAAGCUAUUACUUUAAUUGGUUAUGUGGAUUUUCCUUCAUGCUGACUAGCUGUGUGUGACAUUGUAAAACAUAGCCAUACACUGUAACUGGCAAAGGCAAAUGCAAGGAAGUACAGGUAAAUAGCUAAUGGGAUGCAGAGGGAAGCUAGUCCUUGGAGGGCUUGAUCAAGGAAUGUCACUUGUGAAGAAGAGGGGACAGAGAAGAGGUGUAGGGCAGCGUUAGUACAUUGCAGAGUGUACCUGGAAGGAGACAUGAAAGGAGGACAUUUUUCUCUGGAACGUGGGGACUCUAUUUGCAUAAACCCUGGGAUUAGGGCAAAGAACCAUCAUGAGAACAAGGGCUUCCCUGAACCUCCCAUGCUCAUUGACUGACUAAGCUCUGCACUUCUUCUUUCCUUCACUCUUGUCUUUUUCCUAUACCUCUGUUAUUAGACUGGACUGGCAACCACGUGAUCUAUCCCAAGUGCCUUGAAAUGUGUUGAAUGGGUGUGGCACGCCCUCAGCAGAGUGGCAUUACCCCACAGGAAUUUGUUUAUACCCUUGGCAUGGAAAAUAGCAGGAAAUGAAUGAUGACUGAUAACUGAGGAUGCUAUUUAUUAUUGUCUAAUGGAAUACUGUAUUGUAUUUACAAGACACUCCCAAUUUGUUGAUUCUGAAUGAGUACCAGACCUCUCCUUUAAAUAUGGGAUCCUGAGAACUGAAGGCAAGUGGAGUUCCAGGAGUCCAAGACGGAGCCACUGACCACGAGGAUCCCUGGCCCAGGUCUUGCACUUCAUUCCAUUUUCUGUUGAGUAAUAACUCAUGUUGAAAAUGUCCUUUGUGGAGGAGAACUCAGGAGUGAAAAUGGGCUCUGAAGACUUGGAAAGAGAUGAACCCCAGUGCUGCUCGGAAGACCCAGCUGGAAGCCCCCUGGAGCCAGACCCAUGCCUCCCCUCCAUGAAUUUUGUUCACUCAAGUAAGGCUGCAGGUGAGUGAUGGGGGUGGCUGGGGUGUGAGGGUGGGGAUGGGGAAUGGUGCCACUUAGGAGGCGGGAGACUUAUAGACUGGGGAUACCUAAGGGUGCUGGAUGGGGCUGAGAUCUUCCCUUUGUAGAAGCAGAUCCCCUCAGGAGAGACUCUGGGAAACAUGGGCCUAGGGAGGGACAAGUGAUGCUCACCUGCCAAGAGGCACAGGGCAAGGAAGAGUUUGUGCCUGGGAACCUUCCAGGUACCUCUUCUGACCAUAGUCAAGAGGCUGGUGACACAGACCUCCUCCCAGCACUGAUGACAAACAGCCAUGUGGCCAGUGGGGGUGCAGGGACACCCACACCAUCAAGGUCUCAGGGCGACGUCUUCAGAGCCUGAACCUUCCUCUCAUGCUGCCAUACGAACAGCACAACACCCCAAUAGGAAAUUGUUAAUAUCACCACUGUUCAUGUGUGGAAACCGAGACAGACAGCGGAGAUUCGCUGCACCAGGUGACACUGGUAGUACGUGGCAGAUGUGGAAAUUUAAAGGUACUAUAAUGUCUGUCUGCUCAACUCAGGCUUAAGGCUCCCAUUGGCUCCUCUUCUCAGGACAGAGUCAGGAGACCUCAGUCUGAGCCCCAGAUAGUGCAGGCUAAUGUGUGAAUACUGAGCCUCACUUUGUCAGUAAAAUGACAAAGAGGACCAAAUGGGACCAGGUGUGUAAGGGUGCCUGGUACAGUAGGGGGAGGCUGCUGUCACUGCCUCCACCACUGCUGCCAGAGUUACCUUUGAUGUUUUGGUUGUUUGUAGUUACACCAUUGCUGGCUUUGGAUCUGCACUGUGUCCACUCCAGGUGCAACCUGGAGGUUCCAGGCACACACGCCUGUCUGUUGGGCCUGUCCUGACUUCUUGUCAGGGCUGGGAUCUCCUUCAUAUCUGGGGGGAGUAGUUCUCAAAGUCUGGUCCUCAAACCGUCAGCAGCAUCAGCUCCUAGAACAGUGUUAGGAAUGCAGAUUCCCAGGCCCCACCACAGACCUCCUGCACCAGAAACUCAGGGGGCUGAGGCUUUAGAGGCUGCUUUAACAAGCCUUCCAGGUUAUUGUGGUACACCUUAAAAAUCUGAGAGCUACUGCCCUACAGAAAAUUACUAUUGCCUUAAAACCGGCACUAGCACUGAUGUUACUGCUGCUGUGGGAGCACCACUUCCCUAUAGAAAACAACUUCCAGCGCCUUAAAAUCACUCACAGCUUCAGAGUGGCCUUGAGAAAGAUUUGGGGUCAAGAAUGAUGAGCAAGAACACCACUUACGAGGAUAGUAAGCUUGUCUACAUGCAAGAUG